rnacentral:rRNA from 1 species
CCUACGGGUGGCUGCAGUGGGGAAUAUUGGGCAAUGGAGGCAACUCUGACCCAGCAACGCCGCGUGAAUGAUGAAGGUCUUCGGAUUGUAAAGUUCUGUGAUGGGGGAUGAACAGAAUGCCGGUACCCCAAUUGCAAAUCUCGGCUAACUACGUGCCAGCUCCCGCGGCAAUACGUAGGUGGCAAGCGUUAUCCGGAAUGAAUGGGCGUAAAGGGUGCGUAGGUGGUUUAGUAAGGUGGCGGUGUAAGUCUGUGGCUCAACCCUGUCGCUGCCGCCACAACUAUUAGACUAGAGUGCAGGGGAGGUUGGUGGAAUGCGUAGUGUAGCGGUGGAAUGCAUAGAUAUUAGGAAGAACAUCAGGGGCGAAGGCGGCUUACUGGACUGUAACUGACACUGAGGCACGAAAGCGUGGGGAGCAAACAGGAUUAGAUACCCCAGUAGUC